rnacentral:rRNA from 1 species
CCUACGGGAGGCAGCAGUGGGGAAUAUUGCACAAUGGGGGAAACCCUGAUGCAGCGACGCCGCGUGAGUGAAGAAGUAAUUCGUUACGUAAAGCUCUAUCAGCAGGGAAGAAAUACUGACCUUACGGUCAGCAGACGGUACCUGAGUAAGAAGCUCCGGCUAACUACGUGCCAGCAGCCGCGGUAAUACGUAGGGGGCAAGCGUUAUCCGGAUUUACUGGGUGUAAAGGGAGCGUAGACGGUGCGCCAAGUCUGGAGUGAAAGGGGGGGGCUCAACCCCCGUACUGCUCGGGAAACUGUACGGCUGGAGUGCAGGAGAGGUAAGUGGAAUUCCUAGUGUAGCGGUGAAAUGCGUAGAGAUUAGGAGGAACACCAGUGGCGAAGGCGGCUUACUGGACUGUAACUGACGUUGAGGCUCGAAAGCGUGGGGAGCAAACAGGAUUAGAUACCCGAGUAGUC